AUUGAACGCUGGCGGCAGGCCUAACACAUGCAAGUCGUACGAGUGGCGGACGGGUGAGUAAUGUAUGGGGAACUGCCCGAUGGCGGGGGAUAACUACUGGAAACGGUAGCUAAUACCGCAUACCAUCGGAUGUGCCCAUAUGGGAUUAGCUAGUAGGUGGGGUAACGGCUCACCUAGGCGACGAUCCCUAGCUGGUCUGAGAGGAUGAUCAGCAACAAUGGAAAUGAGAGACGGCCCAGACUGCUACGGGAGGCGACAGUGGGAAAUAUUGGACAAUGGGCGAAAGCCUGAUGCAGCCAGGCCGUGUGUGUGAAGAAGGUCUUAGGGUUGUAAAGUACUUUCAGUGAGGAGGCGUUACUCGCAGAAGAAGCACCGGCUAACUCCGUGCCAGCAGCCGCGGUAAUUC
rnacentral:rRNA from 1 species